rnacentral:rRNA from 1 species
UACGAAGGGUGCUAGCGUUACUCGGAAUUACUGGGCGUAAAGAAUGCGCAGGCGGACUUGUAAGUUAGAAGUGAAAUCCCUGGGCUCAACCUAGGAACUGCUUUUAAAACUGCUUGUCUUGAAUGUUGGAAUGAUUAGGGGAAUUCCUGGUGUAGGGGUAAUAUCCGUAGAUAUCAGGAGGAAGACCGGAAGCGAAAGCGCUUAAUUAGCCAAAUAUUGACGCUGAUGCAUGAAAGCGUGGGGAGCAAACAGG